rnacentral:rRNA from 1 species
CGUAUAUUAAAGUUGUUGCGGUUAAAAAGCUCGUAGUUGGUUCUGCGUGCCGCGCUGUCGGUUCGCCGCCUGUCGGUGUAACUGGCAUGUCGCGGCAUGUCCUGUCGGUGGUGAACGGAGUCCACAAUGCUACAUAGGCUUUACAGCCGAUGUUAGCGUCGUGUGUACUUCCGUUGGCCGAUCUCUCCUACUUCGGUGCUCUUAAACGAGUGUCGAGGUAGGCCGACACGUUCACUUUGAACAAAUUAGAGUGCUUAAAGCAGGCUGAAAUAUCUGCCUGAAUAGUGGUGCAUGGAAUGAUAAAACAGGACCUCGGUUCUAUUUUGUUGGUUUUAGGAAUAUGAGGUAAUGAUCAAUGUGGACUGGCGGGGGCAUUCGUAUUGCGACGUUAGAGGUGAAAUUCUUGGAUCGUCGCAAGACGCACUAGAGCGAAAGCAUUUGCCAAGUAUGUCUUAAUUGAUCAAGAACGAAAGUUAGAGGUUCGAAGGCGAUCAGAUACCGCCCUAGUUCUAACCAUAAACGAUGCCAGCCAGCGAUCCGCCGAUGUUCCUUUAAUGACUCGGCGGGGAGCUUCCACCCGGGAAACCAAAGCUUUUGGGUUCCGGGGGAAGUAUGGUUGCAAAG